rnacentral:lncRNA from 1 species
UUAAAUGACAAGAGUAAAGAAUGAUUAAGAAUAUAAGUAGCGUUAAAGUAACCUACUUGCAUGAUUACAGGUAUUGCAUAUUGCAUUUCGUGAGGCAUGACAUGUAUUUCAAUUGAAUAUAUAUAUCUGUUGUAUAUUGUUGAACUAACAUGUUGCAGUGCCUCGUUAGACCUGUUGGUUGAGCUGGUUCUCUUGGGUGGCUAAACCCACUGAGGACUAUGGACAAUAGUCUCACCCCCGUGUUGCUGUUUUGGGGGUACAGGUACACACGUGUGCGGCGCGGCGGCGCAAGGCGAGGGCGUAGUUCUGCAGAUAGCGCCCUACCCCAGAGACCAGAGCUAGCAGUACCCCAUCUAUAUAGCUUAGGGGUAAAGGAAAUGAAAAGAAUACAAUGUAUCAAACUUGUAGUAAGUAAAUGUUGUAAUAACUUAGAUUGCAUUUGGAUGAAAAAGAAUGGAAACUGUGAUGUAAAAACUAUGAAAGUGAAUGAAUGUAAUAACUUAGGAUGUGUUUAUGUUGUAUGAUACCUUCCACUUGAAAUCUUGAUUGAUAUCCGUUCCUGGUUGGAACCUUCGUGAAUUGUAUUGAUUGCGAUGCUUUGAAUGUACAGGGGAGACUCUGUCCGUAGUACAAGGGAAACCUUGUCCAUUCGGCGAUGUCGGCGGCGCCGGGACCUUGGCCAAAUAGGCGGGUGGUCGCGGGCUGUGACAGUUGUGGUAUCAGAGCAUAAAGUAGAGAAUGGGAAUGGCUUAGACUGACCUAGGAGACCCUAGGAUAGUAAAACCAUAGAAGAAUAAGGCUCGUGAGAGACGAGGACUCAUGAUUCGUGGCGAAAGGUUAAUGGAUUGGGUUGUGUUGUAAACCUCUAAGACGGAUAUUAGAGGUAGACUCGAGGUGUUGUUUAUUCUCAGCCAAGGAUGUUCAUGUUGGGCGUACGACAACAUGAAACCGAGUGAUGUGAAUAAACACCCUUGCGUGACUUUCGCCUGAUUGGCUUUUGAGCCGGUGUUAGUGGUCUCGUGUUCGACCCAAGUUGGUCGAGAACUAAUCGAGUUGUCGUGUUUCAGGAAGCGAUGGCACCGCGUAGGCGAUCUUCUUCCAGAUCGGCGCGGGAGGGGACAAGUGGUGUUCCCGAGCAAGUCGACGCGAGCGAAGGCGCAGAGCUUCGUGAUCAGUUGGCCACACUCAUUGGAGUGAUGAGGCAACAAGCUGAUGUGGUGCAGAGGCAGCAGGAGGCUGCUAUGCGCCAGGAAGAGCGAAUGGAAAGACUCCAAGAAACGGUGGACCAGCUGGUGGGUGCACCAGCUGCGGCUCGUCGAGAACGGCCGGGAGUCGCGGCGGAGAUGUUCCCGUCGGGGUCGGGCGAUCCGACUCCUGUUAGUUCAGAGGUGGCGGCAGAAAGGGAGCGAGCUUUGGCUGCCCUCAUGGCUUUCAAGAAAUUUGAUCCGCCUACCUUCGAUGGUGAGGAUCCAGAUCCGUGGAUCGUGGAGAUGUGGAUUGAUGCCAUGGAAACGCUCUUCGAGGAUCUGUACACGUUGGAGCGAGACAAGGUAAACCUAGUCGCGCAUUAUCUCAAACAGUCGACGAAGGUGUAGUGGAAAGGCGUCAAGCAUGAUCGACCGCCUAGUCUCCCUCCUAUGACGUGGGAAGAAUUUCGGGGAUUGGUGUUCUCUGCUUAUUUCCCCGAUAGCGAGAAGCGGAAGCUCAAGGAAAGGUUCCUUAAGCUGCGGCAAGGAAGUCGCACGGUCAGGCAAUAGGAGCGGGAGUUUUUCCGUAUCGUGCAUUGUAUCCCAAACGUGGUGCGAGAUGACAAGGACAGGGCCGACUGCUUCGUGCGUGGACUUCAGCCAGAUCUUUACCAGGCGGUGCUGGUACUCAAGUUGCAGAUUUUUGCUGAAGUCCUGGAUCGGGCCUUGUGGAUAGAACAGGGCAACGCCUUUAUGCGGGAAGAGCGAGAGGCAUAUUACAAGGAAAAGGGGAAAGGACGACCGACAGGUGGAUCCAGUAGUCAGUCAAGUUCCCAACGGACUUUGACGAGUUCGCACUCGCGAUCCCGAGCUCCGGGGACAUACCGCAUUCAGUCCUCGGCGAAAUGUGCUAUUUGUGGAGGCCCUCAUUUCCCACGACAGUGUGAGCAACGUGAAGGCAAGUACUUCAAGUGUGGGCUGCCGGGUCAUAUGUGGGACGAGUGUCCGCGUGGUGACGGCCGGGCCUUGACACUGGCGACGGCCCAUCCCUCUCUGGGACAACCUGCAGGUGUGCCACCUGCGGCAUGGUCGGGAGAGCGGCCGUUGAGGACGAUGCAACCAGAGGGUUCGCGACGAGCGCCAGGUGGGCAUCGGUAAGCGACCCGAGUUGCAGAGCCUGCCGUUGCUGACGUCAUCGUGGCAGGUAUGAGUUAAUUGAGCAAGCAUGUGCUUUUACUAAUCUCAAGUUGGUGCAUAGCAUGCAUUUGUUGUUGGUCGGUUGCUACUAAUUAUAUAUUGCAUAGUAGGGACCGAAUAGUCGGGUAAGUAGACGCCCGUACAUGCUUGCAUUGUGAGAAGUGGCACCUGCUGGUGCAAGUAGAAAGCCAAGUGGUGCUAGCUAAUGGCUAGUGAUGAUUCUCCGGUACGGAAUGAGGCUCGUGGAGAACAUGGUCUAGUAAGUGACUCUCGAAAUAAUGGGUUGAAAAUUGUGAGAGUUGAGCCUUGAUGUUGAGGAUACUCGAAAGACACGGGAGUUGAGAAUGUAUUCCGGUAGAUCGAACAGUGAAGGUAGAAUCACUGUUGAGAGAGUAACCGUAUAGUUGCCGAAUACGGGCACGUAGGCCUAGUAGUACCUCAAGUUGAGGUCGGCGAGUCCUGCUCGUGUAGUCGGUGUGCAUAGGCAAGGUUGCCUGAUGCUAGAUUUCGUGGAACGCUUUAGAGGCGUAGAGCGCUCGAGUGUAGUUACUCGUGAAGUGCGGUUUUGAUUCAGCCGGUUGAGUGAAUUGGCAGUAGCACUUUAGCAGGGCUAAGUGUGAAGCGGGCCAUGGAUCACUCGUAGGGCUGGUGGCUCGCACUAGGUACCUGGGGGCCGAUAGAGUGUGUAGCUCUGUAGAGCAUGUCGUUUAGGACGACGACGACGAGUGGUGCUUGAGGAUGACCCGUGCCUGGACCGUUUGUGAACUGUGUAGCCUGGGCCCAUUGGGCAGGCGCAGUCAGCUGUGAGAGACAGCGGCCCGAUACCUACUGGUAGGGCAUAGUGUUGGUCAGGACGGUAGUCCGAGCUUGGACAUAAGUACGUGGAAUGCCACGCGAUAGAUCGUGAGAUUGAUGGCACACCAAGUGUGUAGUGACCCAACCCGAGGACUUGACGUGGUCUAGGAUCUUGGUUGCACCUGGUUGGAGUGUGUGUGAAUUCUCCAAUGAGAAUUUCGCCCAAUGAUGAUUGGAUCUACGAUGCGGGCAAGAGACGCUAUGCGUAGUUGUGACAGGUAUAGGCGGUAGGCCUACGUAAUGAUUAUGAUCGUUGGUCCGCCUGUGAAAACCGAUGAUCAGUGCGGCAAGCAACUCUGUUAGUGAGUUGGGCUUGGAUUCACGAACGGAGGGUUCGUGUGAUGUUGAACGUGGCUUGUGGUAGUAAAGGAUAAAGAGAAAAGUAAAGUGUUCUCUAGGAGACACUUGAAUAAGAAAUAGCCACGUGAGGGUUGGUGUAAGGAAGUGAAUUCUCGAAAUGCGAGAGUUGGACUUCGCUCAAAAUCGACAAAUUGUCGAGUGGUUGUGCUUCGGAAAUGCCGAAGAGGUCAAAUACACCAAAGGUGCAUUGCAACGGAUCUGCGAGAGCAAGUGUGCAAAAAUCUGCACUUGGCAGAUUUGCUCUCGGGGACCGAUCCCUGUCAAGGAAGGACCGGUCCCCCGUAGCUGGUUGGUGCGAGGUUGCGUGAUGCAACCGGUCCCUUGGCCAGAGGGACCGGUCCCCCGUAUGCGAAACCGGCGAGAAGAGGAAAUUGGCUAAGUCCUGCGAGAGCAAGCUCUCGGGGACCGGUCUCUAGUGGACAGACCGGUCUCCGGGGGACCGGUCCUCCAGGGACAGACCGGUUCCCGUAAGUGUGUUCAGGCUGAAGGCUCUCGGGGACCGGUCCCUGGCAGGGAGAGACCGGUCCCUCUACACAUAAAAUUUUCCAGGCAGGCUGGGUCAUGUUGGAGGAGUUGGAAUUGUUUGAGUUUCGAGGACGAAACUCUUAUAAGGAGGGGAGAAUGUAACAUACCGAAUUUUAAAUAUAAAAGAGAAAAAUAAAUAAAAAUAGUAUGAGAUACUAUUUUAUUGGAUUUAGAGAAGUGAAAUAUCGGUUGGGAACGACCUGUGCUGAAAUCGGAGCGAAAACAGAAGAUUUAGAAUUUUCUGUUGGAAACGGGACUGAUAAAUUAGCAGAAAAUGCACAGUCUCAGAAAAUUAUAAAAAAUUAGAGGAUAAGUCAGAAAUAUUUUUAUGAGGCUAGAUUUGAAGUUUCAUAUUUUUCUGACGCCCGUAGAGAGAGAAAUAGCAUCCGAAAGCUAUCUGAUAAAGAUUGCAGUUCGGUACAGUUUUCAGUGACCAAACGGGGUCGAAACUGAAAUAUUAAAAUUUCUUUGGACUUAUUAAGUAAAACCGAGCAUGCCUGUCAAAUUUGAGCUCAAACGGACAUUCAGAAGGGCUCCGGCGAAAAAUAAACUGCCCGAAGUGAAUAGUGCGUAGUUGAGGGGCAAAAUGGUAAAAAGGGUUUAAAACCCCUUUUCUUCUUCUCCUCCCAACCGUGGCUGCCCCAACCGCACACACCACACACGCAUACACAAGAACACACACACGCAUGGAAAGGAAAGGAGAGAAAUCCCUUUCUCUCUCUAAAUCUCUCCCAAAAUGGAUGGAUUUGGUGGAGAUUGAAGCUUGGAGGUGGAUCGCCUUCGUCUUCUUCAUCUUCUCCAUGGUUUGGAGCUCAUUUUGAGGUGAGCUUCUUGAGCCCUUUAAUGGUAGAUCUUUAAUGCUUGGUUUAAAUACCUUAUAAAUGGAUUUAGAGGAGUCCUAGCAUGCUAUCUAGAUGAUUAAUGCUUGAAUCAUGGAUCAAUUUAGUGAUUUCUUGCAUAGUUGUAACCUAGGGCUCCAAAAUGCAAACUUUCAAAAUAUGAGGGUUUGAUCUCAUUUGACCCUUCGUAAACCUAAUUGCUAGGUAACGAAACGCGUUGGCGAAGACGGUUCGGCAAUCCGACGAGCCGUUACAAAGUUAUUAAAGAAAUGGACGUUUAGGCUUCGGGUCCGCCGGGAGGGCCGAGGCGACGUCGUAAAAUCAUGGAAAUGGAUUUGAGGCAUCGUGGCACAUAACCGAAGACCUAUAAUUUUCGGGGCUGCGAAGCGGAGCACGGUUGAGGCGCAGUUGCAGUAUCGGGCCGUGCCGGAUACGGGUGCCGCGGGAGGCCGAUUGCAAGUGUCGACAAGCAAUCGGAACGCGAAUUAAGGUGGGUUGUGUUUACCGAAGCGACUAGGUCGCCUUUAUGUCUAAGAAACUAAGAAUCCAUGUUGAUGCAUAUAAAUGUAAAUGAAGCAUGUAAAUGAUGCAUGUAGCUAAAUAAUGCAUGUUGAUAGUAUGAUGUAAAUGCUAAAUAGAAUGCAUUAUGAGCAAGUUACAUAAUGCUAAAUAAUGUAAUGUAGAAAUGCUAGAAUGCAUUAUGAGCAAGUUACAUAAUGCUAAAUAAUGUAAUGUAGAAAUGCUAGAAUGCAUAAUGAGCAAGUUAUAUGAUGCAUGUUUAUAGUAUGAUGUAAAUGCUAAGUAGAUGCAUAUAAAUGAUAUAUGAGAUUAUAAACGCAUGAUUAGCAUUAUGAGAUCAUAGAUGCAUGCUUAGCAUUGUGAGAUUAUAUAUGCAUAUGAACUUGGUUGAUAACUCUAGCUUGAUUAGAGAGAUAACAUUGGAAAAUGAGAAUUGAUAACUCUAGAAUGAGUAGAAUGCUUAAUUGGACAAUUAGUAUGUGAAUUAGAUCGAGUGGCAUCUAACUUAGUGUUAAGGAACAUAGGUCGUGAGUAGACCUAGAAUCAAAUAGAUCGAGUGGCAUCUAACCUAGUGUUAAUAAACAUAGGUCGUGAAAUGAAAAGUACUUAACCUAGAGUCAAGUGAACCUAGGUUGGAAAGAAUAAUGAUCCUAGUGUAAUAAACCUAGGUUAAGAAUGUGAAAGCAAUAAACCUAAUGGGUGAACUUAGGUUGAGUAAAGGCUUAGACCUAGAGAGGUCAGUUCCAUAGGGUUAAGACCAACCCCUAUGUGAUGUGAAAUGGAUUCCGGAAUCCCAAGGCUAAAAGGAUACACCCAAAGUGGUGUCGGGUGUGUGCGACGAUUUCGCCGCCCAAGGGCUAAAGAACCAUUGUCGUGGCGUGUGCGACGAUUUCGCCGCCGGAUGGUUAGCCAGUUUGUGGAUCCUACCGCCUGUUGACUGAACCACUGUCGUGGCGUUUGUGCGACGAUUUCGCCGCCGGGUGGCUAAGUCAUGGACCUAGGCCGUUGUUGGGUGAGGUGCGAUUCGUUCGCCGCCAGACGGCUAGGACAGGAGUACGGUGAGCUGUUGCCAGCUGAGGUGCAUGUGAGAGUUCCUUCACCUCGAGCUAGACAGUGCGCGGACUAUCCGCGAUUGAUUGACUGAAGACCGAGUCGGGUGGCAUAGAGAACUAAGGUAAGAGAAACCUUAGGAAAGAAUGGCCAGUAGAAAAGUGCGACAAAGUGUUAAGAAUAAAGAAUAAGUAAAGAAUAAAGAUCGGCUAAGGAAUAAGAAUAGCUGAUUAGUAAAGAAAGGUUACAAGUAAAGAAUAGCUAAGAGCUAAAAGUAAACAUUAAAUGACAAGAGUAAAGAAUGAUUAAGAAUAUAAGUAGCGUUAAAGUAACCUACUUGCAUGAUUACAGGUAUUGCAUAUUGCAUUUCGUGAGGCAUGACAUGUAUUUCAAUUGAAUAUAUAUAUCUGUUGUAUAUUGUUGAACUAACAUGUUGCAGUGCCUCGUUAGACCUGUUGGUUGAGCUGGUUCUCUUGGGUGGCUAAACCCACUGAGGACUAUGGACAAUAGUCUCACCCCCGUGUUGCUGUUUUGGGGGUACAGGUACACACGUGUGCGGCGCGGCGGCGCAAGGCGA